UACAGAGGGUGCGAGCGUUGUCCGGAAUCACUGGGCGUAAAGGGCGCGUAGGCGGCUCAGUAAGGUUGCGGUGAAAGCCCGGGGCUCGACCCCGGGUCGGCCGGUGGCAACUGCUGGGCUGGAGCACUGUAGAGGCAGGUGGAAUUCCGGGUGUAGCGGUGGAAUGCGUAGAGAUCCGGAAGAACACCGGUGGCGAGGCGGC
rnacentral:rRNA from 1 species